CGAGAUCCAGGCUGCCGUUCGUGCUUUCAGGUCUGUUUUUGAUGAGGAGAUCAGCAAGCGUGAUUUGGACGAGGAGAAGAGAGCUGUCCUCCGUGCUGUUCAGACUGAGUUCGGACAGGCUUUGGAGCUCGCCCUUCAGCAGGCUGUAGAACAGGUCAACUCUGCCGUGGCCCAUGGACAGAAGGUCACCAGUGAGAUGCUGGCGAAGGUUGCCAAUUACACCGAG